CCGGGCGGGUGCAGAGACCGGGAGAAAACCACCUGGGGGAUGGGAGUCCUGAGAGGUCCAGUCAGUUUUAAAGAUGAAAUACCCUAAAAUGCAGAAAUUUCUGGUCCGGAUAGCUCAGCUGAUUAUUUUCAUGUUUCCAGUUUGUCAGUGAGUUUUGCCUUUUUUUUUUUCUCACUUCCUUUACUUCCGUCUGUACUUACCUGAUAAUGUGGAGGAUUCAAGCUUUAGAAAACCUGGAUGAUUUAUUGUAAUGGCUUGUUCUCGAAACUAAGAUACCAAAUGCUCGAAACAAAUAUUUCAGUUAUUUAAAGAAUAGAACCUGAGCGUGGAAGGUUGAGGCUCUUAACAUGGCAGUGUAGGCCACACCUUUAGAUGCAAGCCACCAACUUUAUGCAACCGCUCUAGGGGCUUUUAAAAGAGAUUUAAAAAUAUUUUAAAUGGUAGCUGAUUUAAAGAAGGGAAAUUUAUGAAGAGUGAAAUUGUUUCACGCAAGGAUAUAAAGGGAUGCCUUGUGCUAUUUAGAAUUUUCUAAAGAAGAUUGCUUGGCAUUAUGUCACGAUGCAUAAAAUGGGUUAUAGUUUACUACAAGGAGGCCCAGAUUAUAGUGAAUAGGCUAGUUCUCUCCCCUGCUCCCGGAGGCGGAGUAGGGGUGUGGGGGGUGUGGGGGGAUAUAUUCCAGGACCAUAAUCUGCAUUACUCAGCCUUGGAAAUUCAUGGUGUGGUUAGAGCUAAAGGAUGGCUUUAAAAUUGUUAGCAGAAACCUAUUGCUGUUAUUCAAAAUGUCCUCCCAGGGUUAGUGUAAGAAUAACAAAAAAGGUAAGCAUAAGUCAGUAAGAAUUUGUAGUUCAUAUUCAGUUAUCACCUAAUUCAGAUUUGGUAAAACCUUCACCCAUUGUUUCAAACAAGUAGCAAAUAUACACUGUCAAUAUGUGAGUGCAUUUUGUAAGGAUAUAUAUCUCCAUUUCAACCUAGCAUGCAAAAGAGGAUAUUCUUAUUUUUUUCUGACAAAUAUUUUUU
rnacentral:lncRNA from 1 species